GACGAACGCUGGCGGCGUGCCUAAUACAUGCAAGUUGAGCGCUGAAGGUUGGUACUUGUACCGACUGGAUGAGCAGCGAACGGGUGAGUAACGCGUGGGGAAUCUGCCUUUGAGCGGGGGACAACAUUUGGAAACGAAUGCUAAUACCGCAUAAAAACUUUAAACACAAGUUUUAAGUUUGAAAGAUGCAAUUGCAUCACUCAAAGAUGAUCCCGCGUUGUAUUAGCUAGUUGGUGAGGUAAAGGCUCACCAAGGCGAUGAUACAUAGCCGACCGGAGAGGGUGAUCGGCCACAUUGGGACUGGGACAAGGCCCAAACUCCGACGGGAGGCAGCAGUAGGGAAUCUUCGGCAAUGGACGAAAGUCUGACCGAGCAACGCCGCGUGAGUGAAGAAGGUUUUCGGAUCGUAAAACUCUGUUGGUAGAGAAGAACGUUGGUGAGAGUGGAAAGCUCAUCAAGUGACGGUAACUACCCAGAAAGGGACGGCUAACUACGUG
rnacentral:rRNA from 1 species